GCAUGCAAAGACAGUGAUGGUGGUGGAAGAUAUGUUUCCUGCAACUGGCUCCUUUCAGGAAACAGAAUGUGUGUUUUGUGUGGAGACACUGUUUAACUAUCCAAAGACCAGCUGGACUAACAAGCUCAUCAGUUGCAUAUUCCUGCAUUGCAGAAGGUUGGACUAGAUGAUCCUCAGGAUCCCUUCCAACUCAACGAUUCGACGAUUCUAUUGCAAGAAGUGACAGUCCUAUCAGAAGAUUAUAGAGAAACUGAAUGCCAGGUUCACCCAGGGAUCAUCCACAGACACCGGAACAUCUGAUGAUCCUUCAGUCUCUUUUCAGUUUCACGUUUGAUAGUUGCAGUGAGUAGCUUUGUACUGUAAGUGGCGAAGAAUCUCCUCCAACCCUUUUUCGCUGCAAACGAAUAGCCACUUACUGAAUUUAACAUUUAUGUUAAUAGCCUUCCUCAGCCCAACUAAAUAUGAUUGAAAUUCUUCCAGGGAAGGAGCAAUCUUCAAAGUCUAUAACAGAUUUCUCUGUCCUGACUCUUCCAACAUUCAGCUUCAUUAGAAGCUGAGUUGAAUUGAAUCUCUAGUUGGCUGCUAGUAUAUUACUAAGCUAAAGCCAGAUAUUAUUGCUACUGUAUAAAUCCAAUGGACCAGUCAACUGGUUGGGUUGUCUCAUAAACCCGAACUUCUAUUAGCUCAUGUGAGUAUCUCAUGGCUUACCUCGGUGUUAGAGACCUCCAUUGGAUGCCAAUGAAUCUAUAGUUCUGAGGCAGUGUGGUGUAGUAAUCAGAGAGUUGGACAGGGGCCUAGGACACAAGGGUUUAAAUUCCCACUUAAAGUCCAAACUUCUAGUAUUAUUACUGGGAAGGAGGAAAACUUUUCCUAUCCAUAUUAUCCACACCAUGCAGGACUUCAUACACCUCUAUCAAGUCCUGCCUUGCUGGUCUUGGUCCAUCAUAGCUAUUCUAUAGUUCCCUGGACUUGAGAGUCACAUCAUUGAGUUCUCACAAACACGUUUUGCUUUGGCUAUUCUAUGGUUUCUUUCUUUCUUUCUUUUAAAUAAUUUUUAUUAGAUUUUCCACUUAAAUCAUAUUCACAUUUUUUACAUACUUCUAUAACUUAAUAUAUUACUCUGUAAGAGCAUCAACAUCCUUCCCUCCCUCUUUCUGACUUCCACAUAUCUUUCUCUAUUUUUCACAUUUCUAUAAUCACUUAUUUACCCUUUGUCAAAUUAUAAUAUUUCACCUUCUUGUCGGUAAACCAGUUCCUUAUAUUUACAUUACAAAAUAUUUCAAUUCAGGCCUACAAAGGUUUUCAAAUGUUUAUAAUUUUCUUUCACAUAAAAUAUAAAUUUGUUCCAGUCCUUUUGAAACAGUUUGUCACGCUGAUUCCGGAUCUUCCCCGUCAACUUGGCCAUCUCUACAUACUCCACCACCUUGACCUGCCAAUCUUCCAGUGUUGGGAGUUCCUGCUGCUUCUGUUUCUGAGCCAGAAGUGUUCUCGCAGCCGUUGUGGCAUACAUAAACAUGUUUACCUCUCUUUUAUGUAUUUCUUUUUUUUUUUUAAUAAUUUUUAUUAAGGUUUUAGACAAUAAAGAAAGAGGAAAAAAACAUACACAAUACAUAUAACAACAACACACACAAAAAGCAACACAAAAUUCAACAAUAAAAAAAACAAAAAACAUAACAAUUAAAAACAAUAUCUCUUUUCCAUUUCCAUUUUUAAAUUACUUACUUUCUGGACUUCCUCAUACCUCCCUCUUUUGUAUUCCAAUCCAAAUUAUUUGUCCAGCAGUUUCUUUUCCACUUUUUUAAUCCCAAACUUUAAUUUAAUAAAAUAUUAAAAUAUAUAACUUCAACUUCUUUAAACCUAAUCCUUGGUCUUAGUAUCAUAUAACAUUAAAAUUUUCCCUCUUAAUAUCAAAUUUCCAUUUCUUUAAACAUCUUUAAUCUUAAUCUUUAAUCUUAGUCUAUCAUUAACUUUAACCUGUACAGCUGGAAACCACUUAUUUUCAAUCCAACAUCACUCUAACAUUCUUUAAUUUUGCAGUGUUUCUGAAGAUAGUCUUUGAAUUUCUUCCAAUCUUCCUCCAUCGACUCUUCUCCCUGGUCACAGAUUCUACCAGUCAUUUCCGCCAAUUCCAUAUAGUCCAUAAGUUUCAUCUGCCAUUCCUCCAGCGUGGGAAGUUCUUGUGUCUUCCAAUACUUUGCGAUAAGUAUUCUUGCUGCUGUUGUUGCAUACAUAAAGAAAGUUCUAUCCUUUUUUAUCACCAUUUGGCCGACCAUGCCCAGGAGAAAGGCCUCUGGUUUCUUAGGGAAGGUAUACUUAAAUACCUUUUUUAAUUCAUUAUAUAUCAUUUCCCAGAAAGCCUUAAUCUUGGGGCACGUCCACCAAAGGUGGAAAAAUGUACCUUCAGUUUCUUUACAUUUCCAACAUUUGUUAUCGGGCAAAUGAUAGAUUUUUGCAAGCUUGACUGGGGUUAUGUACCACCUGUAUAUCAUUUUCAUAAUAUUCUCUCUUAAGGCAUUACAUGCCAUAAAUUUCAUACCUGUGGUCCAUAACUGUUCCCAGUCAGCAAACAUAAUAUUAUGUCCAACGUCCUGUGCCCAUUUAAUCAUAGCCGAUUUAACCGUUUCAUCCUGACUAUUCCAUUUCAGCAGCAAGUUAUACAUUCUUGACAAAUUCUUAGUUUUGGGUUCUAACAAUUCUGUUUCCAAUUUGGAUCUUUCCACCUGGAAGCCAAUUUUCCUGUCCAAUUUAAAUGCCUCCAUUAUCUGAUAAUAAUGAAGCCAGUCUCUCUUUUAUGUAUUUCUUCACCAAUUAAACCUAAUAAAAAUGCCUCUGGUUUUUUAUUGAACUUAUAUUUCAAAACCUUUUUUAACUCAUUAUAUAUUAUAUCCCAGAAGGCUUCCACUUUGGAGCAAGUCCACCACACGUGGAGGAAAUUCUUCUCCUUACACUUCCAACAUUUUUUGUCUUGAUUUCUAUACAUUUUAGCAAGUUUGGCAGGUGUGAUAUACCAUCGGUACAUCAUCUUAAAUACAUUUUCUUUGAGUGACACACAUGCUGUAAAUUUGAUUUAGUCCACAGUUUUUCCCACCUUUCAGAAUCAAUCAGAUCCUGGGCCCACCUAAUCAUAACGCUAGAUACGCUAUAGUUUCUUGGACUUUACUGAAGUUAACGUUUCCUCAGGUUUAGCAGGGCCCAGAUUGAGAGUCCCAUGAGUUCUCACAAACAUGUUUUGCUCUGGCUCUGCAGCUGCCCAUUGAGUCACACAUCGAUUCCAGGGAGUUGCAGAGGAGGUGGACCUUCUUAACCUUAUAAUUAUCAAAUCAUGGUGAUUUGUUUAUCUAGUCCAGGGAUUUCCCCAACGAUGACCUUGGAGUCCACAAAUAACAAAACAUCAGAAUCACAGGCAGCAUCAGAUAACUUAUUGUCACAAGCCUGAAUGAAGAACUGGGUCAUAAAUAUCAGAAGCCUGGCCUGAGAGAUUUGGGGCUGGCAGGGCUUGUUUCUAUGGGAGGUUUCCUUUUUCUACCUUUGCUUCUGAAGCUACUGUAUGAGUUCAGCUGUGUUUCUAAUGUGACUGCUGCCACAAGAGUGUAUGACUCUUGCAGGCAUAACCAGGAUGAUAUUUCUGCCGCUGCUGUUUCUGCUGCUAAUGCCCCAUGGAGCCAGUAGGAUGCUGAAAGCAAAAUGCCCAUUGAACCGAAAUAUAGGAACUGAUCCGUUGAAUUAUUACAGGCCAGGAGACCACCUCAUUAGUCAGGUUAUAGUUCCAAACGUUUAUAUAACUUACCCAAUCAACUUUUCACGGCAUCCCAAAAACACUGUUAUGAUGUAAGUGACUUGAUGUUACCCAGUCUGCAUUCACAUUUAUUGCUGUUUUCCAGAGGCAGCAUCUAGUUUCUGGCCAUGCCCCUUGGUAUCCUGCAAACAAAGAGGUUGUUUCAGAACCCUUUCCCUAUUUUGGGCUUCAGUUUCAUUAAUGCAGCUAAAGCAUAGUUGAUCAUCUCAUGUGUCAUGAGAAAGGGUGUUUCUUCCUAGUCAAGUAUUAACAGCUUUGACAGCUUUGACAGCUUCCCCUAUUCCUUUUUCCCAACAAACUGUCUAAAUUAAAUGUCCCUGGUGGUGUUGGGUGUAUUUGGAUUACAACAUAUCUUAAAUAAGUUCUAAAUCCACGGUGCAGUCUUGCAUUUGCGGAUCAAAGAAAGUGUAAAAAUCGGAAUGUAAGGAUACCACCACCUUCCCUUCAAUCUCUCUGAAACGUUCAAAUCAGUAUAGGAACCUUACCAAGUAGUUCCACCACCCUCAGAAGUUAAGGUGGGAAGCCCAAGAGAGGACAUUUCUCUCUUUCAUAUCUUCUCAUCCUCUAAGUAGUUCCUGACAAAGAUUCUGCUCCUUCCUAGCUGCAGAGUUUGCCCCAAUAGAUAUAAAACCAGCAAGCUCCUCUUCUGUUCUUAUAGAGCAAGGAAUGUUACAAGUUGUUUUCAUUUAAUGGGGAAUGGGAAGCUAAAACAAUUUUUCGUGUAUUCAUUUAUUUGCAGUUGGUCAGCAUGGGACACCUCAGCAUUCCUCUCCAUCUUGUUUGCAACCCAAGAGAUCACCCGGUAUCUUAAGCAUUUAGCCAAUGUCACCCUGGGCUAUAGUAUCUAUGAGGCUGCUUUUGAUGUCAGGACAACUGCCGAUGCCAUGCUAGACAGUAUUCCAAAUUACAGCUGUGGAAGACAGAAUAACGUGUUGGCUGUUUUUGAAGCAACUUCUGAAAUCUCCCACCAAAUUUCAAGCAUGUUGGGCAUCUACAAAAUGCCCCAGGUAGGAAUUGGAAGGGAACAGAUCAAUUGUGUUUCACUCCUCUUUGCUGUCUCUCCAGCAGUGGUGAGGAACUACUUCAUCCUCCCAGAAGUUUCUUAACUGCAAAGCCAACCAUCUGGCCGUUAGCCAUGCUUGUGCGGACUGAUGGAAGUUGAACAAUAUCCUCAGGGCCAAAUUUUCCAGGGAACACAAAAGAGUAGCACCCAAAAAGAGAGACCAAAGGGGGGAAAUCACAUUGCAAGAAAGUGGAAAGCAAGUUAGAAAACCCUCAGCCACUUCCUAACUCCCUCCCCGGUUUGUCAAUAGGAAGAUGUGGUUGAAAGUAGCCCCUGGCCCCUAAAGGGUUCUUGUUUCUCAGGAAGACCAGUGGAUGUCUGACAGCUAACUGAACACAGAAGUUUAAGUACUUGCACACCUCCAUACUGAGCAGCUGCUUAGCCUCUGCCACUCAUUCUGUGUAGUACCCCAUUGUGACUCUAGGAAGAGGUAGGGGUGCCAUGACCACAAAAGGCCCAGAUGCCCUGCUCUGCCCCAGUGUCCAUUGGAGCCACUUCCUUCUCAGUAAACUCCAGGUCCUCUUCUGAACACGAUUCCUCCAUCAAAGGCAUGGCAUACAUCCAGAAGUAUCUGGUUAGCUACUGUGAGAAGAUGGGCCUUUUGCCUGGUCAUGCAAUGGGGCCUUUCUUGUGUAUUCCUGAAACCCUGACACCAUUCUUUUUCUUACUAGAUCAGUUUUGGCUCUGCUGCUCAGGAUCUGAAUGACAAAACCCAGUUCCCUUUUAUCUAUCGUAUGGUCCCCAAAGAAGAAAUCCAGCACAUGGGGAUUGUCAAGUUGUUGCUCCAUUUCGGGUGGACGUGGAUCGGUCUCUUUGUUCCAGACAAUGACAAUGGAGAAAGGUUCCUGAGUGCUUUCACACCUCCGCUGAUCCGCAGUGGAAUUUGUGUUGCUUUCUUGGAAAAAUUUCAUAUUUCGACCCUGGGACAAAUGUCAUCCUUACAUUGUAAACCAUCUGAUUUGAGACAAGUCAAGGUGUUUGUUUAUUAUGGGGACUCUGAGCACAGAAUUUAUCCAAUCGUACUGUUACAAAGAAUUCAUGAAGUGAGGAAAUCUCAGGGGAUAGUCUGGAUCACAAUAGAUCUUCUGGACAUUGAUGAGAUGUUGUUUGGUGGCAAAGAUUACUUCCAGCCUGCCCAUGGUUCUUUGUCCUUUGUAAUGAAUACCGAAAAAAGGACAGAACAGGGUUACUAUACUCGACUUUCAUUUGAAGCUAGAGCUGAAGCUGCACAGUUUUUCAAAAGAGUAUUCAGUUGUACAUGUUCAAACAAUGUGCUGUCCGUGGAGGGCUGGACAAGAUGCACAGAAAUAGAACAACAAGAAAGUUUGUCCAAGGAGGAGAUGGAGGCAAUCUGGUCUGAAGACCGCUACAGCACUUACUACGGCGUCCAACUUGUGGCCCAGGCCUUAAAUGUCGCAUAUUCCUCCAGAUCCAAAUGGAUGUUAAUGGCGAGUGGAGGAAACAGAUUGGAACUUCAAAGGUUGCAGCCAUGGCAGGUCUGUCCUCUAUGCAAAUACUCUAUGGAAUUCGUUUCAGAUUGUAUAUUCUUUGUAGUUUACGUCAUUGUUAUUGUUAAAUAUGUUUAGGUUUCCUAUGCACUGUAUUUAGUAGGACAUGUUAAUAUGUUUUUUUAAAUUGUUCAUCUAUUUUUGUGGUCCUAAGAUUGAUUAAAAUUAUUUUUUAAAAUAGAUAAUUUCGGAAAGUUAGGAGGAAUCUUUCAAAGCACAAAAUAAGCUUUGAAAAAUUGUUAAGGAGCAUUCUCUUACAUAACGCUUAAUUAAUUAAUUAAUUACUCUAUUUAGUUCAUAACAUUUAUAUACAGUAUUGCUUGACUCCUGAAAAAAACCUCAAACCACUUUACAAAAAAGUUAAAAUGAAAAUAAAUUCACUAAAGAAAACCUUUAUUUAAAACACAGAAAGUUGAAAUCACAAUAGGAUAGCUUAAAGCCAAUUAAAAGGCAUGUUAGCUUUCUACAGUUGCCAAGUGCUUGCUAGGAUGUGUCCUCGAUAUGUGUUUAUUUGAGUCAUAUGUCCUGUGAAUUUAUAAUCUGAUAAAGGACCAGUUGUAAUGACCAAAAGGUUGUUAUCUUUAGCUGACACGAGGCCUCAAUGUCCUUGAUUUAGGACCAUUCUCUCAAAACUGGAAAGAUGUCUGGAAUCUUACUCAAUUAUCUAAGAAAAACAAGACUAUGCCCCCCAAAAUAUCCAAAGUCAUGCAAAGCUUUGCUCAAUCAUAUACCCAGAAAUAUCCUGCAAUUAUUUUGUUUAAACAUAAUUUACUCUCAUCUCUUAUGGAGUUUGCACACAAGUCUGCUGUUUUCUCACAAAAUCCGGAUAUCAUGUUUUAUAAAGCUGGUGUUUUCUCUGCCAUUCUAGCUUCACACUUUCUUGAAAGAAAUUUGGUUUUCCAAUUCAUCCAUAGGAGGGAUGUAUUCUGAUCAGAAUGGGGAGCUGACUGCCAACUUUGAUAUCGUGAACUGGGUUGUAUUUCCCAAUAGAUCUCACAGCAGAAAGAAAGUUGGGAGCAUCGAGGGACAGGCAUCCUCCGGCAUAAAAUUCUCCAUUAAACCGGAAGCCAUUAUGUGGCCUGGGAACUUCAGCAAGGUCAUUGCAUUUAUCUGUUUAUUUAUCGUACUUAUAUCCCACCUUUUCUCUAUGGAGCUUCAUGG
rnacentral:lncRNA from 1 species